GGGAUCAGGAUGCUCUGCUGUUAACAAAUCACAAAGUUACACGCAGUUUUAGAUCUUAUCCGUCCAUUUUAGAUCGGUCGAUUCAUAUUGCUUCUUAAUUAAAUCAGUACAAAUCAAUCUCAACCAUUAAUAUUAGAUCGGACGGUCCUGAUUAAAAACAGCGUGAAACCGCGUGAAAAAUUGACAGCAGGAAAUCUUGUUCC
rnacentral:lncRNA from 1 species